UACGAGGGGGGCUAGCGUUGCUCGGAAUCACUGGGCGUAAAGCGCACGUAGGCGGAUUGCUAAGUCAGGGGUGAAAUCCUGGAGCUCAACUCCAGAACUGCCUUUGAUACUGGCGAUCUUGAGUCCGGGAGAGGUGAGUGGAACUGCGAGUGUAGAGGUGAAAUUCGUAGAUAUUCGCAAGAACACCAGUGGCGAAGGCGGCUCACUGGACCGGUACUGACGCUGAGGUGCGAAAGCGUGGGGAGCAAACAGG
rnacentral:rRNA from 1 species